GGGAGCAUUUGCCUCUGUGGGCCCUGCUCUCGUCUGGGAGGGGAGCGAUCCCUGGGAGGGGAGCGAUCGGGUUCUGGCUUGUGGGCACAGUCCGAAGGUCAAUGUUUCUGUGGCCACGCCUCCUUUAAAAAAUAAAUGCACUUUGUUGUGUUCAGUGAAUUCCCUUGGAAGUGCACUGCCUGGCUUGCUCGCGUGUGCUACUUGCUUCCACGAAAAGGAGUUGUGCGAUCUCCUAAAUGCAGUGUAUUCCAAGGCCUCUUGAACUCUUUCCAGAAGGAAGAGUUGGUUGUUUGGCUGACACCCUGGGUGCAGCCCCUGGCACCUUUCCCUUUUAAAAAGGUGGGUCCCUGCCCAGUUACCUUCGGCCUCUUGACCCCCUGAUGAAGGGGCUUCCCCAGCUGCAGCUGACAUUGUAUCGUGACUUCGGAUCACCGCUGGAGCCCUGGCCUGGGCGCUCUGUAUCCCGCUGCCCCGGAGCCUGGCGGGCCACCCUUGGCCUCCUUGUCGUCACAUCCUCCGCCUUUACUUACAAGGGCCCCAUGGGGCCAUUUGCUUUUAACCGAGAGCUCAAAACUCCAGGCCCAGUUGCUAUCUCCCUGAGACCCCAGGAGAAUGUAAUGUUUUCUGAAGCUAGGCCUCCCUGGAGGUGCCAGCCCAACACGCCUCUGACUCUUUUCUUUAAAGCCCAGAACCCACUGAGUUAAAAUACGUCGUCAGGGUGACUAGAAACCACUUGGACACAUUUGCCGACGCCGACUGUGUGCUCUCCCGCUGGGUCUGUGGACGCCUGGGCUGCCUGCACCGUGAUGCGUGUGGGGAAGCCCGGCUCCUAGAGGACGGGGCUCUAAUGCUACGGUCACUUUGUGCAGGAGGGGAAGUCUCAGGAAGAGUCGGGAGUGGGGGAAGGGGGGAAGCACGUCCUUGGGAAGGGAAUCCUGGUCAAGGUUAGAGGACUGGUUUGUAUGCAUCUGUAGUGCUUAACUGGGAAUAAUUUAUUCCAUUGUAGAUACUUUUUAGGUACCAUUUUAUUCGUUUCCUGCUCUUUUUUCAAUAAACGAAUGUGCAGGAAAGUGGGCAUCGAAUUGUUUAAAUGCUUUGGCUGCUUGUCCCCUGGUCCGGCUGAGGCCCAGAUCCCCCGGUUUAUCCCAACACACUCGGCAGGAGUUCACCAGAUGUUGUCUUUUCUGUGUGUUUAUGGUACCGGAUGCCAGGCUUUGGGCUGCCAGUGGGUAACUGAGAGGCCAGAGCCUUUUCUGUUCUGUCCUUGCUGAGACACCAUGAGCCUCUCUGCGUGACCAUUCCUGACACCCCCGUGGAGGUCUUGGGCCACCCUUGCCGUUGACCGAAAUGGAGCCCUAAGCCCCAUGCCGGUCACCGACCAGCAGAACAGAAGCAAAGGGAGGCUGGUGGGAAAGGGAAGCUCCAAUGGGCCCUCCACCAUUCACCUUGCCCUUGGAGAAGAGACCCAAGUGCACCGAGGAGAAAGGAUAUUGCAGUGUAAGAAACCACCCCACACUUAAGGAAGUUAGGAAUAGUCUUUAUUUUGCUCACAAAUCUGAGCAGAACUCAUCAGGGACAGCUUACCUCUCUGGGCAACUCAACUGGACUCUUCUUUCAAGAUGGUGGCAUCACUCAGCUGGUGAGUCUACAGGCUGCCCGCCAGGAGCUUUGAUUCCUCCUCCCCUGGACCAUUCUACAGGAUUUGGGGGGCUUUUUUGCAACACGGUGGCUGUGUUCCAAGAGCAGGUGUUCUCAGAGCAGAAAGUCAGAGCUGCCAGUGUCUGGAGACUUGGGCCAGGAAGCUGGCAUGGCGGCACUUCCAUUCCAGUCUCCGGGCACAUUCAUCACAGAGCCUGCACACAUUUGGGGGGGAAGCAAAGAACCCGCAUCUCAGUGGGAGAGGGGUCAAAGAGUUUGCAGCCAUCUGCUUCAGUGGGGCCAGGGAGAUUGGAGCCAAGUGUCCGAGCCCCUAGACAGCACCAACCAACACCUUUUUCUUGAUCACCGUGUUCACAUCUGGGCCACAUUCCACCUGUCUGGCUACCCUUCCUCCUGGAUCCUGUUCUUGGACUUCAAGCUUCAGUCUUUGGGCUUCUGGCCUUUUCGAUCAGCACACUGCCCCUUGGGGUUCUAACCAUGUCCUCUGUUCUAUGAUGAGAAUGCCCCUAUGUCCUAGCUGAUCCCCCCCUGGGCGUCAGGCCCACAUUUUCAGCAGUCUUCUGGGUUCAUCAGCUCACAUGUCCCCGUGUGCCGCAAACCUGAUCACUCCAGAGGCAAAUUCACUCUUUCUCAUCCACUCGCACUAAACCUUCAACGUGACUUCACUUCCUGACUCUGCCCCUAGCUAGCUGGGUGGUCUUGAGUUGUGUUCUGUUUCUCAAACGUCUACACAAGAGUCAGUCUUCCAAGGUCACAUCCAUCUCAAAAAUGCUUUGACUCUUCCCGUCACCCAGGCCCAGAUAUUGGACCGGACUUUGGUUCACCCCUGUCACUCACCCUGAUUGCUUUAGACCUUCUCCUCCUCUACCUUCCUUCUCCCUCCCACCACACUUCAUUGUGGGACCCCCUCGCUCUGACCACCUGUGCCUCCAGAUUCGACCCUCAGAAUAAAAUCCGUGAUCUGCUUCCCUUGGGACCACAGUACGGCACCUCCAGUUUCCUACCUGGUCCUCCUCAGCUCUCCGGAUAUCUCCCUCCGUUGAACCCAUGACCACAGAGCUCCAUCCUAAUGGCACUCAGAACCCUCAGGGGGUAUGAUGGGCACUCCUGCCCGAUUAGUGGUUCACGCCACUGUUCCCGGACGACCCUCUACCAGAAGCUGUGCUACCUAACCCCCCCCAUACCCCGCCAUGCAGAUCCUACCAGCACUUCUGAGUCUACCACUUCCUCCAAGAAGCCCUCCAGCCCCACCAAGCUCUCCCUCUAAAUGGCAAUCAUCCUUAGGAUGCCUGAUACUCAGCACUGAGGUACUUCAGUUCCUUUAAUUGGGAGUUGGUACUUGCCUGUGUCUUGCCCAGUGUGGUCUUACUUUUCUCAGAGGUAGGAGUCCAUGUCUUUAUACUUGGUUCAUCCUUCUCACGUUGCCCAGCACAGCAGACGCCCAGCAAUAGCAUCUGUUACGUUCAUGGUCAGAAUAGAGACAUCGUACUUCACCGGUGACAUCAGGCAGGUGUCAUACCGGAGACGGCCAGGUGGAGGGAAGGAAUUCGACGCCGGGCAAAUACCUUAUGCUAGAAGCUUUCAAGCCUUCUCUCACAGCAACCUCUGAUGAUCGCAGAGGUAAUGUUCCAUCUCCAGUUUACUGGUGAGAAAAGGACUCCCAGUGAAAUGGAGUCAUUCGCCCAAGGAUGCGAACACGCAAGUGGCGGGGCAGCAAAUGUCCUGCUCUGCAGCAGGUGGGGGGACAACACGACACAACUAGAGGUAAGGGGCUGUCAAAGUGGCCCAGGGCUCCCAUGAGAUCCUUUCCUUCCCCCUGUCUCUUCUCCUUCCUCCAGAAGACCAUGAACUUUGGGGGAAGAAGCCUCGGGAGCACAACACCCACCCAUAGGCCUCUGGACCUGGUGUCGGCAGCUCAUCCCCAGGUCAGGGAUGCCCAGGAAUCUGGUGUCAGAGCCAUAGAGCAAAGCACCCGCAGCUCAGCAAGCCCUGCCAAAUCCAGCUCCCCGACACUCAGCCCUGCCCUCAGCCACACCCCUGAUGGAUUCCUGUUCCCAAGAGAAGAGGGGAGUCACACUUUACACCUGCAUGCUUUCCAAGAUUGAUGCCACAUCAAGGUACCCUUGGCCUAAGCUCUACUCCAGAGGAAAGAGACUCACAGAUGAGAAGACUGGGGCUCAUUUUCUAGUCCAGCUGUGCCACAGUUUGCUGCUCCUUGAGAGGCCUCAGAGGACCAGUUGGGGAGUGGGCCGGUCUUUGAGGGAGUCCCUACUGCUGGGGCCCGUCACUGAAGAGUGUUCCAGAAGCAAAGCCACUGACGAAGCCGCAGGCCACUCGUCCACCAUGUGUCAAGGAGAUGGUGGAGAUCUAUCAAUUUGUGCACAUGGGUGCUAUGACCAGUAGUUUGGCCAGAUUUCAUCCCCCUCUGGUCAGAGAUCCCAGGUCACUCCCUGAGAGGCUACUGGCUAGAAAAGACUAGAAGGUAGAACAGCAGAAACGCUGCUCACACCCUGCUGGAAGCUUCUACACACCUCCAGUGAGUUGGAACGUCAUUGCUCCACACACUCCUCAACUGAUGAUCCUUCCAAUACAAGAUGUCUCUGGGGGGCUGCAAACCAGCCCUGGGAGAGGAGGUGUUGGGCUCCCCCCUGGAAAGAGGAGUCCGGGCACCAGCUACUGAAGCAACUUCAAAGCCCUUCAUCGGUUCUUCAUGUGGCCCCAGAUGUUCAGAUCUGACCUUUCAAAGACCCAGGCUAGAGGAACUAAACUCUGUUCCGACCUUAACCAUGGGACUAGGACUGUGAGGAGGUCAGGCUGCAAAACUCGCUUUGUGACUGCUCUGGAAUUUUAGGGGAAGCUAUAUUUUUAGCCAAAAUCCAAGUCCACAGGCCUGUGGGAGUGAAUGAAAGAGCCACUCGCUCUGCCUCAGACUUGGACUCAGUGUGUACUGUGGACCCUGGGUGCCCACUGGGGCUCAGGAGACCAGUAGGGACCCGUUCCAUUCUUGAUCCCUUUCCUUUCACAAGACCCUAAUUGCUUGGCUGGGAGCCACCUGCUAUGUCUCCUGAGCUAGUUUGCAGGCUGAAGAACAGCUGGAUCAUAGGCCAUCUCACCAAGUCUCUUCCCACCAUCACCCCCAUCUUACCCCUGCUCCCUGCAGCCACCCAGGAGGCCCAGCCUGCAGGCUAACUGUCAUGGGCCUUUGAUCUCAACUAAUGACACUUUCUCUUUUGAUUUGCAAAGUACUUUUACUGCAGCUUUAUCCCACGUGCAGCACUGGGUGCCUGGCACUUAACUCAAUAAACUCUGAAUUGGUUCUUACAACCACACUGGAGUCCCAGAGGGCUGAGUGUCUUCUUCUUUCUUUCUUUAAGUUUAAAUGAAGAAAUACAAAGAAUGUGUGUGGCUUUUACCUAAGGUCACCGGAAAGACCUAGGGGUGGACUCCAGCCUCCUGUUUGUGGAGUGGGAGAGGCACAGGGAGGGUCCUCCAAGACACCAGGUGGCACUCCAAAAUGCAUCUACAUGUGCACAACAAUGUGGAUGGACCUAGAAGGUAUUAUGAUGCUAAGUGAAAUAAGUCAG